AUGAUCACCACCAUGUUCCUCCAAUCCUCUGAGGACCCAGGGACCCACGGUACUGAGAAAAGCUUUGAUGGAGCCGGCUGGUGGAUCUCCACUCCAGAUUUUCCAGCUGUCCCUGUCCCCCCCCACCGCUCAGAGAGCAGGAUGCUGAGAUGGCUCGGUGAUGCAGAAGGUAUGUGCUUUUUCAGUUCUGGUGCUGAUGCUGUGUGUGUGGUGAGGUCUCUGUGGCGCAAUGGACGAGCGCGCUGGACUUCUAAUCCAGAGGUUCCGGGUUCGAGUCCCGGCAGAGAUGGUCACCUGGCAGGCACUGUAGUUCCUGACUGUAUGUUGAAAGAAGGAGGAUGAGAACAGGUGACAUUUUUGGCUACCAAAACAUCAAUCUGCAUGCAGAGAAGGGACUGAUCUCAUUAUUCCCCCAUGGAGAACAAAGAAGGAAAUCACAGAUGUUGUGAAGAAGAGAGAAUUUCAGGAUCCCAACGUGUAUGUGCUUAGCAAGAGACUUUGCUAAACCAUGGGAGAGAGCUGUUCAGUGACCAGCUCACAGGACAGAGGCCAAGGCAGGGGUGGUGGUGAUGGUGGGGUCUCCCUUCAGCUUCUUCCCUGAUCCCUGAGCAUGGCUGAGACGAAGGCCAUGGCCCUGCUUCCACAGAAAACCUACUUCAGGAGUCAUCUUACAACACUUUAUUCAAUGGGAGCUCUGAGAGCCAGAAUCUGAAAUGCCACCAGAUUGAGGGGGCACCAUUUAUGCACGAAAGGCCCAAAUUCUAUGUUCCUUCAUAGAAACAAAUCCUUAACCCACUGAGCAAGGCCAGGAAUCGAACCUUUGUCCUCAUGGAUGCUAGUCAGAUUCGUUAACCGCUGAGCCACAACGGGAACUCCAGUACGCUUUUUUUUUUUUUUUUUCAACAAAUUAUGGUACAUGCAGUCAUACCUUCAUGCUCUGCCUUGGUAUACCAGGGCCUAUGGACCUCAAAGUGUCUUUUUAAAAAGAACUGUGAUGAUUUUUCCAAUGAAGCUCUUCUCAACUUUCCAGCAAAUUAUCGAUGAAGACAAGGAUAAAUGUGAAGGUUUGCAAAGAAAAAUUUUACACCACCCGUCAACCUAUGGCCAGAGUGUGAGAAGCUGAUGGUGAUGAAGUGUAAGCCAUAGGCUUAAUGUCUUUUGCUACCCAAAAUCUGUCCUUAAAACCUAAAAUUAAAAUGUUCGAAAGACAUUUUGUCCUUCCCCCAAUUGUUGUCCCUCCAGGUUAGAAAAAUUGGGUUGAUUCCAAGCAGAAAACUGAGAUUAGGAGUUUUGGCUCAGUAAGUUAAAGAACCCAACAUGGUGUCUGUGAAGAUGUGGGUUCAAUCCCUGGCCUUGCUUGGUGGUUUAAGGAUCAGGUGUUGCUGUGGCUGUGGUGCAGGCCUGCAGCUGCAGCUCUGAUUCAACCCCUAGCCCAGGAACUUCCACAUGCUGCAGUGUGGACAUUUGAAAGAAAGAAAAAAAGAAAGUUAAUUUCAGCUGUACAGCAGAAUGAAUCAGCCAUGCAUAUAUACAUAUCUACUCUUUUGCAGAUUCUUUUCCCAUCUAGGUUAUUACAGAAUAUUGAGUAGAGUUCCCUGUGCUAUACAGCAGGUCCUUGUUAGUUAUCUGUUCUAUAUAUAGCAGUGUGUGUAUGUAAAUUCCUAAGUUAUCCUUUCUCCCCACAUUUCCCCCUUGGCAACCAUUCGUUUGAUUGAGAUCUGUGAGUCUGUUUCUGUUCUGUAAAUAAAUUCAUUUGUAUCAUUUUAAAAUUAGAUUCUAGGAGUUCCCUUCAUGGCUUAGCAGAAACAAAUCUGACUAGUAUCCAUGAGGAUGCAGGUUCAAUCCCUGGUCUCACUCAGUGGGUUAAGGAUUCGAUAUUGCUGUGAGCUGUGUGUAGGUGGCAGUUCUGAUUUGACCCUUAGCCUGGGAACCUCCAUAUGCCACAGUUGCAGCCCUAAAAGACAAAAAAAAAAAAAAAAAAAAAAGAAAUGAGAUUCUACAUAUAAGUGAUAUCAUAUGUAAUUUGUAUUUCUCUAUCUGACUUACUUCAUUUAGUAUGAUGAUCUCUAGGUCUUCUAUAUUACUGCAAAAUGAUAUUACAUCAUUCCUUUUUAUGGUUGAGUAAUAUUCCAGUGUACAUAUGUACCACAUCUUCUUUAUCCAUUCCUCUGUCCAUGGAUAUUUAGGUUGCUUCCGUGUCUUUGCUCAUGUAAACAGUGCUGCAGUGAACAUCGGGGUGCAUUUUUCAUUGAUGUGAUCACUACCUGACACAUAUUUUUAUGUUUCUCCCAAUAGAAUAUAAGCCCCAUUUGGACAUGGGGUUUGCUUGUCUUUCUUGAAUUGCAUCUCCUUUGCUUUGGAC
rnacentral:tRNA from 1 species